AUUGAACGCUGGCGGCAGGCUUAACGCAUGCAAGUCGAGCGGGGGAAGGUAGCUUGCUACCGGACCUAGCGGCGGACGGGUGAGUAAUGCUUAGGAAUCUGCCUACUAGUGGGGGACAACAUCUCGAAAGGGAUGCUAAUACCGCAUACGUCCUACGGGAGAAAGCAGGGGAUCUUCGGACCUUGCGCUAAUAGAUGAGCCUAAGUCGGAUUAGCUAGUUGGUGGGGUAAAGGCCUACCAAGGCGACGAUCUGUAGCGGGUCCGAGAGGAUGAUCCGCCACACUGGGACUGAGACACGGCCCAGACUCCUACGGGAGGCAGCAGUGGGGAAUAUUGGACAAUGGGGGGAACCCUGAUCCAGCCAUGCCGCGUGUGUGAAGAAGGCCUUAUGGUUGUAAAGCACUUUAAGCGAGGAGGAGGCUACUUUAGUUAAUACCUAGAGAUAGUGGACGUUACUCGCAGAAUAAGCACCGGCUAACUCUGUGCCAGCAGCCGCCGCAG
rnacentral:rRNA from 1 species